UUGUUUUAUUGGAAUUAUUUUGGUGCCUUUUUCCUGCGCUUCUCUCUCUGGUCUGCAUCCCAAUUUAGUUCCUCAAGAUCGAUCGAAAUCGAAGCUGAGUCUUGCUGAAGAUCCAGGAUGGAGUUCAUGAGACCUUUGUAAGUCCGAUUCUUCUAUUGAGGUCUUUUCAAGUUUCUUUAUAAGCUGCUUAUGAUGCUGUGAAUUUCCUUGUUAUGUGAAUUAUUGUUCUCACAAAUAACAAUGGUUUGAUUUGUAUCGGCUGUGAGGUUUUUACUUGUUUUUGUGAAGAUACGCUUUCUUCUUUGUGCUUGUGAUAUAAGAUGCCUAGUUUAUCAAUUUAGAGACAUUCAUUC